rnacentral:rRNA from 1 species
GAUGAACGCUGGCGGCGUGCCUAAUACAUGCAAGUCGAGCGAACGGACGAGAAGCUUGCUUCUCUGAUGUUAGCGGCGGACGGGUGAGUAACACGUGGAUAACCUACCUAUAAGACUGGGAUAACUUCGGGAAACCGGAGCUAAUACCGGAUAAUAUUUUGAACCGCAUGGUUCAAAAGUGAAAGACGGUCUUGCUGUCACUUAUAGAUGGAUCCGCGCUGCAUUAGCUAGUUGGUAAGGUAACGGCUUACCAAGGCAACGAUGCAUAGCCGACCUGAGAGGGGGAUCGGCCACACUGGAACUGAGACACGGUCCAGACUCCUACGGGAGGCAGCAGUAGGGAAUCUUCCGCAAUGGGCGAAAGCCUGACGGAGCAACGCCGCGUGAGUGAUGAAGGUCUUCGGAUCGUAAAACUCUGUUAUUAGGGAAGAACAUAUGUGUGAGUAACUGUGCACAUCUUGACGGUACCUAAUCAGAAAGCCACGGCUAACUACGUG